rnacentral:SRP_RNA from 1 species
GCUGGGCAUCGUAGUGCAUGCCUGUGGUCCCGGCUACUUGGGAGGCUGAGGCAGGAGGAUCGCUUGAGCCUGGGAGGUCAAGGAUGCAGUGAGCCAAGAUCGUGCCACUGCACUCCAGCCUGGGCAACAGAGUGAGAUCUUGUCUCAA